AGGUCAAGGUACUAAGGGCAUGCGGUGGAUGCCUUGGCGGCGGGAGGCGACGAAGGGCGUGGUAAGCUGCGAUAAGCCCCGGGGAGCCGCAAACAGGCGUUGAUCCGGGGAUUCCCGAAUGGGGAAACCUAACUGGUCGUAAGACCAGUUGCCGCCGAAAGGCGGUGCGACACCGGGGGAAGUGAAACAUCUCAGUACCCCGAGGAAAAGAAAUCAAACGAGAUUCCCUGAGUAGCGGCGAGCGAAAGGGGAGAAGCCUAAACCAGUGCAAUGCUCAAGCCCGUGGGCGUUGUUGCACUGGGGUUGUGGGGCGCAACCGGGCGAGGCCACGGACUCGCCGGGAAGUUACAAAUCCUCUAUCUAGCCGAAGUGCCUGGGAUGGCACGCCGGAGAGGGUGAAAGCCCCGUAGGCGAAAGGUAGAGGACUUCCUGGGUUGCGACCCCGAGUACCGCGGGACCCGUGGAAUCCUGCGGGAAUCAGGGGGGACCACCCUCCAAGGCUAAAUACUACCCGCCGUCCGAUAGCGUACUAGUACCGUGAGGGAAAGGUGAAAAGAACCCCGGGAGGGGAGUGAAACAGAACCUGAAACCGCAUGCCUACACUAAGUCGGAGCCCGUAAGGGUGACGGCGUGCCUUUUGCUUAAUGAGUCCGCGAGUUGCCGUCAGUGGCGAGGUUAAGCCGAACAAGGCGUAGCCGUAGCGAAAGCGAGUCCGAACAGGGCGUUAGUCACUGGCGGCAGACCCGAAGCCGGGUGAGCUACCCCUGGGCAGGAUGAAGGUGGGCUAAACCCCACUGGAGGUCCGAACCGGUGGACAGUGAAAAGUCCUCGGAUGACCUGGGGGUAGGAGUGAAAAGCUAACCGAACCCGGUGAUAGCUGGUUCUCCCCGAAACGCAUUGAGGUGCGGCCUCGGGUGGUCUGUGCAGGGGGUAGAGCACUGAUAGGGCUAGGGGGGUAACCUCCGAACCCUGUCAAACUCCGAAUCCCUGCACAUAAAGCCCGGGAGAAAGACUGUGGGGGAUAAGCUCCAUGGUCGAAAGGGGAACAGCCCAGACCGCCGGCUAAGGGCCCGGAGAGGUGGCUAAGUGGUAAAGGAUGUGGCGCACCUAAGACAACUGGGAGGUUGGCUUAGAAGCAGCCAUCCUUUAAAGAGUGCGUAACAGCUCACCAGUCGAGGUGCGCUGCGCCGAAGAUGUAACGGGGCUCAAGCCACCCCCCGAAGCCGCGGGUCUGCACCGAUGAGGUGCAGGCGGUAGGGGAGCUUUCCGCUGUAGGGUGAAGGCAGACCCGCGAGGGCUGCUGGACGAGGCGGAAGUGAGAAUGCGGACAUGAGUAUGCGAGAGGAGAGUGAGAAUCUCUCCCCCCGUAAGCCCAAGGGUACCUGGGGAAGGGUCGUCCGCCCAGGGUUAGCCGGUACCCUAAGGUAAACCCGAAAGGGGUAGCCGAAGGGAAGCUGGUUAAUAUUCCAGCGCCACCUGCAAUCGAGGUGCAAGGGGUGACGCAGGAGGGUAGGCGCCGAGGGUAAGUGGCACUCCCUUCCAAGCGGUUAGGGCGUUGAUGGGUGUAGGUAAAUCCGCACCCGGAGCCUGAGCCGUGAUGGGGAGGACCCGUGAGGGUCCAACGGUGCUGACCCCACACUGCCGAGAAAAACCUCGUGCACCGUUUGAGAUUGCAGGUGACCGUUCCGCAAACCGACACAGGUGGGCGAGCUGAGAAGGCUCAGGGGAGCGGGAUAACCCUCGCCAAGGAACUCGGCAAGUUGACCCCGUAACUUCGGGAGAUGGGGUGCCGCGGUAGGGUGAACCCAGGGGAAGGGGCAACCCGGAAACUGGGGGAGCCCGAGGCGGUCGCAGAGACCAGGCCCUGGCGACUGUUUACCAAAAACACAGGCCUCUGCAAACUCGUAAAGAGGAUGUAUAGGGGCUGACGCCUGCCCAGUGCCGGAAGGUUAAGGGGAGGGGUGAGGCCGUAAGGCGUAGCUCCGACCCGAAGCCCCGGUAAACGGCGGCCGUAACUAUAACGGUCCUAAGGUAGCUGUGCUGCCUGCCUGCAGGGUAACCUGCAGGGCAAUACCCGGCUGUAUGCGGGAAAACCCUUAGAGCUCUUCCUACUUGGGGAGGUUUUCUCCAAGUAAAAAUGGAAGAGAUUGGGCAAUCCGCAGGAAACCCCGAAAGGGGGAUCCUCAGAGACUGUACGCCGGGCAUCCAGCUUCCCAGCGAGGUGCGGUGUGAUGGAGCUUCAUCCAAAGUGGGUCGUUGGGUUCGUGGAUGGAGAAGGAUGUUUCUAUGUGGGUGUGAACAAGAACGAGGCGAUGAGCUUGGGUUAUCAGGUGUUGCCUGAGUUCAGAGUCGUUCAACACCGGCGAGACAUCCAAGUCCUUUACGCGCUCAAGCGCUUCUUCGGAUGCGGUACGGUCAGAAGAAACCACGAAGACAGAUACGAGCUCAGGAUAAGGAAAUUUGAGUGUCUGAAAAAGGUCGUUGAAUUCUUUCAAAAUCAUCCACUCAAGACGAAGAAGAACGUCGAUUUCAAGAAAUUCAGCAAGAUCAUCAAGAUGAUGGAUGAAGGAAAGCACCUCACGAGGGAAGGGCUGAUCGAGAUCGUGCAGAUAGCUCUCGAAAUGAACACGGGAAAACAUGAGCAGCUGAAGCAGAUCUUGUGCGAAUUGACUGGGAAGGCUGGAUGAAGAUACAGUCCACCCUUGGUUCGAAAGACCAAGAUGAUGGUGAGCGAAAUACCUUGUCGGGUAAGUUCCGACCUGCAUGAAUGGCGUAACGACUGGGGCGCUGUCUCGGCGAGGGACCCGGUGAAAUUUCAGUGAGGGUGAAGAUGCCCUCAACCUGCGGCUAGACGGAAAGACCCCGUGGAGCUUCACUGCAGCCUGGUAUUGGAUUCUGGCACACCGUGUACAGGAUAGGUGGGAGGCUGUGAACCCGGCUCGCCAGGGUCGGGGGAGCCACCGGUGGGAUACCACCCUCGGUGUGUCGGAAUUCUAACCUGAACCUGUGAAGAGCAGGUUGGGGACAGUGCCAGGUGGGCAGUUUGACUGGGGCGGUCGCCUCCUAAAAAGUAACGGAGGCGCGCGAAGGUCGGCUCAGGUGGGUUGGAAAUCCACCGUUGAGUGCAAGGGCAUAAGCCGGCCUGACUGUGAGGCCGACGGGCCGAGCAGAGGGGAAACCCGGCCCUAGUGACCCGACGACUCCGGGUGGAAGGGUCGUCGACAACGGACAAAAGUUACCCCGGGGAUAACAGGCUAGUCUCGCCCGAGAGUUCACAUCGACGGCGAGGAUCGGCACCUCGAUGUCGGCUCAUCCCAUCCUGGGGCUGAAGCAGGUCCCAAGGGUUAGGCUGUCCGCCUAUUAAAGGGGUACGUGAGCUGGGUUCAGACCGUCGCAAGACAGGUCGGUCCCUAUCGGCCGCAGGCGCAGGAGGUUUGAGGGGGGUCACCCCUUGUACGAGAGGACCGGGGUGAGCGGGCCUCUGGUGUACCGGCUGUCCUGCCAAGGGCAUUCGCCGGGUAGCUAUGCCCGUAAGCGAUAACCGCUGAAGGCAUCUAAGCGGGAAGCGCGCCCUAAGAUUAGACCUCCCAUCCCGUUAAGGGAGUAAGGCCGGUCCGAGAACAGGACCUUGAUAGGCCGGUGGUGUAAGCGCCGCAAGGCGUUGAGCCAACCGGUACUAAUCGGCCGAGGCCUUGACCUC
rnacentral:rRNA from 1 species